rnacentral:rRNA from 1 species
UACGGGGGGGGCAAGCGUUGUUCGGAAUUACUGGGCGUAAAGCGUGCGCAGGCGGCUUUGCAAGACAGAUGUGAAAUCCCCGGGCUUAACCUGGGAACUGCAUUUGUGACUGCAUGGCUGGAGUGCGGCAGAGGGGGAUGGAAUUCCGCGUGUAGCAGUGAAAUGCGUAGAUAUGCGGAGGAACACCGAUGGCGAAGGCAGUCCCCUGGGCCUGCACUGACGCUCAUGCACGAAAGCGUGGGGAGCAAACAGG